rnacentral:rRNA from 1 species
UUGGCGGACGGGUGAGUAACGCGUGGAUAACCUGCCGUAUACAGGGGGAUAACACUUAGAAAUAGGUGCUAAUACCGCAUAAGCGCACGGUUCCGCAUGGAACAGUGUGAAAAACUCCGGUGGUAUACGAUGGAUCCGCGUCUGAUUAGCCAGUUGGCGGGGUAACGGCCCACCAAAGCGAUGAUCAGUAGCCGGCCUGAGAGGGUGAACGGCCACAUUGGGACUGAGACACGGCCCAAACUCCUACGGAAGGCAGCAG